AUGGAAAAAGCAAGGGGUACUGCAUUGACAUAUAGCUUGGGUGCAACUCUGAAAUCCUCUGUAACAUUCUGUCUUUGGUCUCAACUAUUAUAUCAAAUUCAUUAUUUUCUCCAUCUUGUUCCAAUAAUUAGUGCUGCGACUUCUGAUGCAGAUGGUAGGUUGUAUUGCCGUCCAUCUUUCGACCUUUUGUUGAUCAAUCUUAGUCUUACAUCUUUAAUACGCCGGUUUUGGAAUCUGUCCCUUGCCAUACAAAAUGAUUUGACUAAAACACUGUGCUCAUCAAGCAUCUCCAGUAGUCCUUUGACAAUGUUUUCAUCUGGUUGUGUCUUACUCUCCGUUGAAGCAGAUGCAUUAAUCCUAUUCCGCACUUCAUUUUCUGUGUCAUGUAUGUACAAUUGGGCAAAUUUUGGUUUCAUCACGUCAUCUUUAGGAAGUAAAGUGCCAAUCUGA
rnacentral:rRNA from 1 species